rnacentral:ncRNA from 23 species
AACUUAUCAAGAGAAGUGGAGGGACUGGCCUGUGGAUACUUCGGCAACAUGAUUAUGCGUGUGCCAAUUCCAGUAGCAUCAUUUAUGCUAGAAGAUAAGAA